rnacentral:rRNA from 1 species
AACGAACGCUGGCGGCAUGCCUAACACAUGCAAGUCGAACGAGACCUUCGGGUCUAGUGGCGCACGGGUGCGUAACGCGUGGGAACCUGCCCUUAGGUUCGGAAUAACUCCCCGAAAGGGGUGCUAAUACCGGAUAAUGUCUUCGGACCAAAGAUUUAUCGCCUGUGGAUGGGCCCGCGUUGGAUUAGCUAGUUGGUAGGGGAAAAGCCUACCAAGGCGACGAUCCAUAGCUGGUCUGAGAGGAUGAUCAGCCACACUGGGACUGAGACACGGCCCAGACUCCUACGGGAGGCAGCAGUGGGGAAUAUUGGACAAUGGGCGAAAGCCUGAUCCAGCAAUGCCGCGUGAGUGAUGAAGGCCUUAGGGUUGUAAAGCUCUUUUACCCGGGAUGAUAAUGACAGUACCGGGAGAAGAAGCGCCGGCGAACUCCGU